CAGAAAAGCAAAGCUGAACUCUCACCAUUGAAGCUGCUUUGCAGACAGCACUUUCAAAACUCUGGCCCCAACUGCAGCAGAAGGAGCACGAAGGACUCAAAGUACUACAAGAAGGAUCCUGCACUGCUCACAAGUCCUCGUCUACCUGCCCUCAAUUAAUUUCCAAAAACCCAGCUGGCUGACGGUUACAGAACUGAAGGAUGGCUGAUCCUGUUAGAGUUGGUCAGCUGCUACUUUCUCAGAAGUCUUUCCAAGAAAGGAGGGUACAACUGAGGCAAGAGUUAGCAGGAAUAUUACCUCCAGGAGAUUUCUGUGCAAGAACUGGAGCGCUCCAAAGACUCCUGUAGAAAUUUCUCUCUCCUUCGGAUCUGAAAUGACCGUGGGAGGUCUCAAAAUUUCAAGAGGUGCCAAGUCUGACAAGGACAUUCCACCUCCGUGUGCUUUUAAGUCUUGCUAAAACUGCUCCUGAAAGUUUAUUCAAAAUGAAUACAAAAGCAUACUGAAAUUUC
ensembl:lncRNA